rnacentral:rRNA from 1 species
AUUGAACGCUGGCGGCAUGCCUUACACAUGCAAGUCGAACGGCAGCACGGGAGCAAUCCUGGUGGCGAGUGGCGAACGGGUGAGUAAUAUAUCGGAACGUGCCCAGUAGUGGGGGAUAGCCCGGCGAAAGCCGGAUUAAUACCGCAUGAGACCUGAGGGUGAAAGCGGGGGAUCGCAAGACCUCGCGCUACUGGAGCGGCCGAUAUCAGAUUAGCUAGUUGGUGGGGUAAAGGCCUACCAAGGCAACGAUCUGUAGUUGGUCUGAGAGGACGACCAGCCACACUGGGACUGAGACACGGCCCAGACUCCUACGGGAGGCAGCAGUGGGGAAUUUUGGACAAUGGGCGCAAGCCUGAUCCAGCAAUGCCGCGUGCAGGAAGAAGGCCUUCGGGUUGUAAACUGCUUUUGUCAGGGAAGAAAUCCUCUGGGUUAAUACCUCGGGGGGAUGACGGUACCUGAAGAAUAAGCACCGGCUAACUACGUG